UGCUUCUGGCAAAGGUUGCACUUGUUAAUUUGAGAUUCACGACUUGCAGAUAUAAUUAAAAAUGCUCAGUAAUAUCUUGGUGUUUCAAGGUUUUUGUUAUUAUAACUUCUAUGAAACCUGUUUUAUAUGAUUACAGCUGUUUUACUGUGUUGUUAUUAAUGAUCUGUUCAUACAGCAGCCUCCCCUUGGUCUCCACAGGAUGAGUUAUACAUGUUAACCCCAGCAUCUCAUGCUGGCUAACCCAGGAUGGCGCUGGUAGUGGCAACACGCAUGGCGACACGCAGCAGCAGUGUGUGAAAGCAGUUGUAUUGAAAACUGUGUUUUAAUCUGGUUUUUAAACUACGUGUUUAUUUUGCCAGCUUUUAACCGCGGUUCUUAACCUGUCCUGUCUGUCUUUUGUUACUGUUUUACUAACCAUUACUGGACUGAUCUGCAUACGAACGGAGGCAACAUGAUGACUCACCUGAAUUUGACAGGCCUCUUUUUCUUGUUGACACUGUCAUGUCACUUUUUACGCGGACUUUUGGUGUAUGGAGAUCCUCUCCAGUAUAGUCGGGAGUUCCUGCUGCUUUUGCACAGCACCGGUGUAGGCUCCGUGGACUAUUCCGCAGUUAUCCCCCCAGAGAUCCUCCGGCUACCGGACCCCUAUGCAGUCAACAGGAACAGGGCGCCCCGGACGAAGCCGACUUCGAGGAAAAGAGGGAGACGCGGCGGUGUGCGCCAGAGGCUCAAGAGACAGGGACACAAGCGGAUCCCCCUUCCCACAGUCAUCCUCGCUAACGUCCAGUCACUCCGGAAUAAAGUGGACGAGCUUCAGGCAAACGUCAAGUUCCUGGCGGAGUAUAGCAGUGCCUGUCUUCUCGCCUUCACAGAAACAUGGCUUAAGGAACACGACAUACAGUCUGAUCUGGAGAUCGAUGGCUUCGGAGUUCCCUACCGUUUGGACAGAGACCCUGCAGUGACCGCCUGAGAUGCUGCAGGUUAACAGCACCCAGCUGCAGGUCUUUGACCUCUGCCCUCAGCGACUCCUCUGCUCUCAGAGAACUCAACCUGAGCGAAAACAACUUUGAGGACUGGGGGUUGAAGCUGCUCUCUGAUCGGCUGAGGAAACCCCAGUGUAGACUGAAGAUACUGAGAAAAGACACAGAUGAUGGUGGACCCAGCAUCUCUAACUCCAGUUCUGUUGUCAGUAUACCGACCUGCUCUCAGUCCAUAGCCCCAAAUGUUGCUGCACCUCCAUGUCCACAAGUCAGACCAGCAGUCAUCCAGGACUCCACUGUCUUCAUUGGAAGAAGCAGAAAACAAAAUGCAUUUCAGUUUUCGUCUGUGCAUUCUGAAAGCAAAGCAAUGGGUGACAAUGAUGCUCCGAAGGAAAUGGAGGCACCUGUUACAGCUGUGAAGUGCUUGGUCACAAACACCCUUCCAGCCAUUUCUCUCCUCCAAAUCUCCUCAGAUCCUGGUUGGAGUAGAAGAGACUUCAGCAGCCUGCCUCAUUCUCCCAGCAUGCCUUCACUGAGUCAAAUAACCUCUGAAAAGCACAAGACCUUUACACGAGCUAAAAGCUUACCUGCCAUUCUGUUAAAUACCAGCUUUGAGGAGUUUACACCUGAUAUCACUGCUGAUGAAAGCGAUGAAACCUACAGGUUCCAGUGCUCCUGCCCAGGCCUGUACCAGUGCAGUGUGACCGGCCUGGUGUUCCACAUGGAGGGAGAAGGGGAAGUGGUCUACAGGAUUGUCCCUUGGAAUAGGAGGCUGGCCCAGCAUCACAAGAAGCCUGCAGGACCCGUUUGACAUCAAAUGUCUGCAGCAGUCGGUGUGUCAGCUUCAUCUCCCACACUGUGAGAUCCGUUCCACAGGUGGAUGUGAUUUCUUGUCAGUUGCUCAUGUGAACGAUGAUGGCAUUGAGUUUAUCAGCCCUCAUAGGAUAACAGAAACUUAUGUUAUUAUAAACAUCACAGGGUAUUCAGGUUUCGGUAAUGUCAAGGAUGAAGAUUCACCACCUGACCUGGUCCGAGCGCAGGUUCUGCUGUUCUACAGGCCCCCGGCUGAUCCUGAUCCUGAAUCCCUCCUCAAUGUGUUGUUGCUACCGAGGAAAGUUGUUGUCCAGGAUGUGAUGCGCAUCCGGAAGGAGUUAGUUGGAGAUGAGAGCUACAUAGAGA